UACAGAGACUGCAAGCGUUAUUCGGAUUCACUGGGCGUAAAGGGCGCGUAGGCGGCCACCGCAAGUCGACUGUGAAAUCUCCGGGCUUAACCCGGAAAGGUCAGCCGAUACUGCGGGGCUAGAGUGCAGAAGGGGCAACUGGAAUUCUCGGUGUAGCGGUGAAAUGCGUAGAUAUCGAGAGGAACACCUGCGGCGAAGGCGGGUUGCUGGGCUGACACUGACGCUGAGGCGCGAAAGCUAGGGGAGCGAACGGG
rnacentral:rRNA from 1 species